rnacentral:rRNA from 1 species
CAGCAGCCGCGGUAAUACCGGCGGCCCGAGUGGCGGUCACUAUUAUUGGGCUUAAAGCGUCCGUAGCCGGGUUGGGAAGUCCUCCGGGAAAUCUGGCCGCUUAAAGGUCAGAAUGCCGGAGGAUACUCCCAGCCUAGGGAGCGGGAGAGGCCGAGGGGAUUCCCGGGGUAGGGGGGGAAUCCUAUAAUCCCGGGAGGACCACCUGUGGCGAAGGCGCUCGGCUGGAACGCGUCCGACGGUGAGGGACGAAGGCCAGGGGAGCAAACCAGAUUAGAUACCCGGGUAGUCCUGGCUGUAAACGAUGCGGACUUUGUGUCGGACAAGCUAUGAGCUUGUCCGGUGCCGGAGGGAAACCGUUAAGUCCGCCGCCUGGGGAGUACGGCCGCAAGGCUGAAACUUAAAGGAAUUGGCGGG